rnacentral:rRNA from 1 species
UACGUAGGGGGCGAGCGUUGUCCGGAAUGACUGGGCGUAAAGGGCGUGUAGGCGGCCGGAUAAGUUAGGAGUGAAAGUCCCGCUUUCAAGGUGGGAAUUGCUUUUAAUACUGUCCGGCUUGAGUGCGGAAGAGGUAAGUGGAAUUCCCAGUGUAGCGGUGAAAUGCGUAGAGAUUGGGAGGAACACCAGUGGCGAAGGCGACUUACUGGGCCGCAACUGACGCUGAGGCGCGAAAGCGUGGGGAG